AUGUCAAGGCUAGGGCAUUUUCUGAAAAAUUUCUUGAACCUCUCCCACGCCUCUGGAUAGCUCUCGAGAUCUUUCUGCUUGAAGGUGUGAACAUCAUUCCUGAUUU
rnacentral:snoRNA from 1 species